ACGGGUGAGUAACGCGUGGGAACGUGCCUUCUGGUUCGGAAUAACUCAGGGAAACUUGAGCUAAUACCGGAUACGCCCUUUUUGGGGAAAGGUUUACCGCCGGAAGAUCGGCCCGCGUCUGAUUAGCUAGUUGGUGGGGUAACGGCCUACCAAGGCGACGAUCAGUAGCUGGUCUGAGAGGAUGAUCAGCCACACUGGGACUGAGACACGGCCCAGACUCCUACGGGAGGCAGCAGUGGGGAAUAUUGGACAAUGGGCGCAAGCCUGAUCCAGCCAUGCCGCGUGAGUGAUGAAGGCCUUAGGGUUGUAAAGCUCUUUUAUCCGGGACGAUAAUGACGGUACCGGAGGAAUAAGCCCCGGCUAACUUCGUGCCAGCAGCCGCGGUAAUACGAAGGGGGCUAGCGUUGCUCGGAAUCACUGGGCGUAAAGGGCGCGUAGGCGGUCUUUUAAGUCGGGGGUGAAAGCCUGUGGCUCAACCACAGAAUUGCCUUCGAUACUGGGAGACUUGAGUUCGGAAGAGGUUGGUGGAACUGCGAGU
rnacentral:rRNA from 1 species